AGGCUUGCUAACAAGGCAACAAUUGUGGACUUUGGGAGUAACCGAAUACUGCUGUUCCAGAUUUACUUGCAGUAGUAAAAACGUGACAUUCUCAAUACCUUCAGCAGCUCUUUACAGCCACACUUGGCUUUAUUCAUCCAUUGCUACAUUUCAUUGUAUAUUUGAUAUUGUAUCACGGAACUUUGAGCGUUACAUUUCAUUAUUUUGCAACUUCAAGUACCUUGGGAGAAUGCUUUUCAAGUAAUUCCAAGUGUACCAUUCAACAUUGUAAUAGUUUAGUUUCCACCUUUUAGUGUGAAAGUGUGUCAAGGGGCUCCAAGUGUCACUUGCACUUUCACAUAGGGCCGUUUUUCAUUUUCUUUCACUGUUAAUUUACUUUGCUUGAUUGUCUUUUAUAUUUUAAUUCUCCGAGAUAUUUAGGAGCGUGUUUCAUAUAGUAAACCUACCUUCGUUUAGUUUUUAGGUGCAUUUUAUAGUGCAUUUUUGAUUGUCUUUUAUGUUUUAAUUCUCCGUAAUAUUUAGGAGCGUGUUUCAUAUACUAAACCUUAAAAUUCUAAAAUCCUAAAACCUAAAUCCUAACACUUUAAACCAUAAACCUAAACCCUAAACUCCUAAAACCGUAAAUCCUAAACCCUAAAAAAACCCUAAACUCUAAAACCUAAAACACUAAACUCCUAAAACCCUAAACCUUAAAACCUAACACCCUAAACCCUAAAAAACCCUAAACUUUAAAACUGUAAACCCUAAAACCCUAAACCCUAAAACCCUAAAAUCUAAACCUUAAAAUCUAAACCCUACAACCUAAACCCUAACACCUUAAACCCUAAAAACCUAAACCCUAAAAUCCUAAAACCGUAAACCCUAUAACUUUAAACCCUAAAACUUAAAAUCCAAAACCCAAAACCCUAAAACCCUAAACCCUAAAACCCUAAACCCUACAACCUAAACCCUAACACCUUAAAACCCUAAACCCUAAAACCGUAAACCCUAAAACCGUAAACCCUAAAACCCAAAACCCCUAAACCCCUAAAACCUUAAACUCCUAAAUCCCUAAACCCUAAAACCUAAAACCUAUCCUAAAACCCUAAAACCUAAACCCUAACACCUUAAACCCUAAAACCCUAAACCUAAACUCUAAAAUCCUGAAACCCUAAAAUCCUGAAACC
rnacentral:lncRNA from 1 species